UAUAGCAGCCCGCCCGCACCUCUCCCUCCUCUGGUCCUUCCUCAUCUCAGCCGCCACCCCCACCAACCCUAGCCGCGCCCUCCUGCAUCUGUCCUUCUCCCCCUUCCUGGUCCGUCCCGAGCCCCUCCUCGUCUCCUUGUCGCACCCACCUAAUCACCAGUGAUGGCCGCGCCUAAACGCAUGAGCUAGCCAAGGAAAAGCGGGGUGGCGCGUGCCCUGGUCAUCGGCCGACGGGGAGCCUGCGUAGAGGCGGUGGCGGAGACGAACCUAGAUGCUCGAGCCGCCUCUUCGGAGGCUUUCCGAUGAACAGGUGGUGUGCCGUCUGCAACACCCCACCCAUGGUUCCUAAUUCCUAAUGGCUUUUUGUUGUGCGGAUGAUGGAUUUAUGUGUUCCUGCCGCUGAAGGGGAAGACGGAGGAGUUCCGCGCGCGCCUGGGCCGCGGGGAGAUGCUCGUCGACGUUCAGGCAGAGGAGUUUUCUGUGGUGAGGGAGGCGGCAAGGAGGACGCUCGGCAUGUGACACUUCGAUGUUCAGGCAUACCAGUUUUGCUCUGUUAGGAUGUUCAGUGGUGACUGUAAAUGAUUAUUUGGCACAGCGAGAUGCUGAAUGGAUGGGCCGCGUUCAUCGUUUUCUUGGCCUAACUGUCGGUCUAAUUCAGGCGGGUAUGAAGUCUGAUGAGAGGAGAGCCAACUAUAUGUGUGACAUUACAUACACUAAUAACUCGGUAAGAUGCUCAGUAGAACAACAACUUUUAGAUAGUUCUAUAGUGGCUAUUCAUCUGAGGACCUUUCUUCUUCUUGCAACUUGGUAUUAUAUGUUAAAGUUGUCUUCAUUUCAGAUUAGAAGUAAUAAUAAAAUAAGUUGUGUUUGAAUCUUCUACAAGAAUCUACCUGUGAGCUGCCGCCAUAUUUGUUAAUGAACCCUUUACCUGCUUAUCUUGGUUAUGUAGUACUUUAUGUUGAUAUCCCAUAUCAUAUAAGAAUCAAGGACCUUCAUAGUGGAUAUGAUUUUGGUCAUCCACCAAGUCAUCAAGUUGAGCACAUCAUCUUGGACAAGCAGAUGCAAAUUUCUGCUACAUAUGCUUCUUGGAUUGUCUCUGCCAUCAACUCUCUCAAUUCCCAAAGCAUUAAACCCAUCUGAUUGUUUAUAUAUUUUAUUUUUGUUUUGCUUUUACCAACGCAUUUCUUGGCAUGUGUGGGUGUGUUCCUUCCUACGGCCAGCUCGACCAUUUGCUCCGUAGGGCAAAAGGAGCAAAUAAAUUGAGAAUGCAUUAGUCUUCUCUGCAAUCUGUUGUUCAGGUCAAUCUUUCUUGUUUUUCUGCUCUUUGGUAAUGCAUUUGGAUUGUGUCUCUCUCUCAAGCUUGGGCAUAUUGGUUGUAUGUUUGACUUUUUUAGUAGCAGGAAGGUAACUAAGUAGUUCACAAGACAAGUAGUUGUAAACUUUGAUCAUUUAUUUGUAGAGUAUACUUUUGUGAGUAAUUCUAGGUUUUAGCUUUUUGGCAGAGAAUGCAUAGUUUUGGGAUCUACGAUAUUAGUUAUGAGAGGAUGGUAAUCAUAUGGAAAGUGGUAUUGUGAUGUGAGUUAUUGGCCUAAGAAAUCACAUUGUAUGGUUUAUUGGCCUAAUAAGCUCUCUUUGACUGUAAAACUGAUAAGCAUGUCCAAAGGAUGAUUUUGUUUUGUUAGUUUCAUGAAAAUUGUAGGAGUUUAGAUAGCAUCGAUGCUUAGUACAGAGUGAGAUUAACAAAACACUGAAUUGAAGAUCGGUUUUUCUCUUAUUUUGUCUACUCUCUACGUCGAGAUAAGUGUGGAUUCAAUAGAUACUAACUCUGGCUAUUUGGCUAAAAAUUGGGUGCUUACAUACUCGUUGAAAUUUAGUUCUGUAAAAGAGAAAUAUUGUUAUCAUGCAAUGAUCAACUCAGUGUAGGAUUGCUAUAGAGUUCUUCCUCCCUUUUCAUUGAGCAUGUUCUUUAAUUAGGUUGCAAUUGUGAAACUUGUUUGUUUUUUUAUUGUAUAAUAUGAAGCUUCCAAAUGGUUUGAUCAUGAAAACAAGUUACCAAAUUUCUGUGUGCAGUGGGCUGGGAGCCAGGGUCAUAUGUGAUGUUCUUUCCUGAAUGAGCACUGUUGAGUUAUCUGCUUCCCUUGAUUAACCCUUCAUUUAGAACUACAAGACAAAGCUUGAAAAAAUUGGCCUGUUGUCUUCCUGUUCACACAAAUCUGCAAUCUGGGUGUUACUGAUGUUUCCUCAACCACCUUAUAGUCACUUUUGACUGACAAGUGUAUCGUAAUAGGCAUUCUGAUCUGUCUUUUUUGUUAGUUGCAGAUUUAGAAGCGUAGUAAUGAUAUUUGCUGACAGCUGUAUGAAAAGGAGUUGUUAAUAGAUAAAUCCUACCUCCACAUAUACAGUUUGUAGGAGUUUGGAGUACUUUGCGCACCUACCUGUAGCGUGCCAUCACAAGCACUUAUACAACAGGAGGUUUGUGCGCCACAUGUAAACUUCCUCUCCUUCCUCUCAGUCUCUAGCUAACCAUUGAGGGCCGGCUCAUCAUGCCAAGAGAUGCUAAUGAGAAUAACGGAGAUGCUAAAAGGCAACCUUUUGGGAUAUAGACAACAACAUGGCUUAUGAGUCCGAAGAGAGCUCGAGUGGAGUCUUUUGGUUCUUGAAGCCCUGCACUUUCCUGGUGGAGUAGCAUGAAAACAAUUAAGAGACUUCAAAGCUACUACGCUUCAUGUAGUUACGAUCAAUUCUUGGUCUCGGUUUGAAAUACUCCUCACUUCCUCCUAUUUGAUUGAUUUGUCUGAUGGACAUUUUGUCAAGAAAAUAAACAGAAGGCAUAUGUAUUAUUACGAGUGAAGCCAUCCAUACAAGUUAAGAUAUUAAUAAUCCCAUAUGUGGAAUUCGAGAUAUAGAGAAAUGUUAUUAUUCUUCUGCUAAUUGGUUGCUUGACCAAAUGUACUGUAAAUGACAUUAUUAUUG